rnacentral:lncRNA from 1 species
CUCUUGCAAGGUAACAGGCCUCUGCGUCUCUGUGCUGGUGUGCCUCAUUAAUACCCCCAGAAGCACUAGCAUCAUCUGGGCCCCUGGGCCCAUGAAGGUGCUGAGGUUGACCAAUAUGGACAACUGCUACACUGAGGCCAGAGGCUGUGCUGCCACCCUGGGCACUUUGCCAAGGUCACCUUUGCUGCCAUCUCCAAGAUCCACAGGUGUCUCAUCCCACCACCUCUAGAAAGAGACCGUGUUCUUGAGGUCUCCCUAUCAGAAGUUCACUGACCUUCUAGUAAAGACCCACAGCAGAGUCUCUAUGCAGAAGACCCAGGCUCUAGCUGUAGCCACCACAUAGUGUUUUUAUACAAGAGAAAUAAACUGAAUUAAGACUGAAAAAAAAUCAGUUGUGUUAACUAUACAGAAUCCUAGACCUCAUCAUCAGACCUUCUGAUUCAGCACGUGCUGCUGCUGGAGUGACCUCAGAUACACCCACCACAGAGAUAGUGUCUUAUCAUCAUCCACAUUUUUCAAAGGCUCAGGGAGACCAUGCAGAGAAGGGUCUCUCAUUGCCCCAUACUAGCAGGUUACUUGAUCAGCUAAUUAUCAUCUUGAAAAACCAAGAGUUUGGUCCCAUGAAGCUACUAAAUACCCUGGCACAGACUCCUACUGGUCCAGGAAGUGGACACCAAUUUUUGCAAGACAAGAAUGAUAACGGCACAGUUCUUUGGCAACAGUGUUCGUGUAGUUGUCUGUGUGAAGUCAAUCAGUUCCCGAUUGUUCACCUUACUUUCUCGGGGUUUGUGUUCGGGUCCAUUGUGAGGCUCCAUCGCUCACAGCCGCUUCUCACCGCGGCUCCGGAAAGAGCUGCUUAGACAAGGAAGACGCUGCUGCAGUCACCGCUCUGCUGGGAGAGCCUCCCGGGCUAUAGGACGCCCGCCGGCCGUGUCGCCGCCCACGGUGCGGCUAGGCUCCCGGCGCUGUCGGCGGCCGGACGCAAGGCAGGCAGACAGCUCGGCCGCCCGGCGGGUCACCGAGGAGUCGCGGCCGCCCCGCCCCCGUCAAGGCCGCGCGCCUCCUCCGCGGCUGCCUGCGCCCGCGGGCCGGCGGCCCCCUCCCUCCCCACGGCCUCCCGGGCGCGGCGGCUCCCUCCCUCCCACGGCCUCCCGGGGGCGCGGCGCGCGGCGGGCCCCCUCCCUCCC